rnacentral:misc_RNA from 1 species
CCCUAGCCCCGAUUGAGGCAUUGUCGGAGCUCUUUUGCGGAGCCCGCGCAGCAAAAAGCGACUGCCGAAAGCGGGAAACAGC